rnacentral:rRNA from 1 species
CGGGACGGGGGAGUAAUGCUUGGGAAUCUAGCUUAUGGAGGGGGGUAACUACGGGAAACUGUAGCUAAUACCGCGUAAUAUCGAAAGAUUAAAGUGUGGGACCUUCGGGCCACAUGCCAUAGGAUGAGCCCAAGUGGGAUUAGGUAGUUGGUGAGGUAAAGGCUCACCAAGCCGACGAUCUCUAGCUGGUCUGAGAGGAUGACCAGCCACACUGGGACUGAGACACGGCCCAG